rnacentral:rRNA from 1 species
UACGGAGGCAGCAGUGAGGAAUAUUGGUCAAUGGUCGAGAGACUGAACCAGCCAAGUAGCGUGCAGGAUGACGGCCCUAUGGGUUGUAAACUGCUUUUAUGCGGGGAUAAAGUGCGGCACGUGUGCCGUUUUGUAGGUACCGCAUGAAUAAGGACCGGCUAAUUCCGUGCCAGCAGCCGCGGUAAU